rnacentral:misc_RNA from 1 species
UCUCCGUUGGUGAACCAGCGGAGGGAUCAUUACUGAGUUUACAACUCCCAAACCCAAUGUGAACAUACCUAUCGUUGCUUCGGCGGGACCGCCCCGGCGCGCCCUUAGGGGCUUGCCCGGAACCAGGCGCCCGCCGGAGGCCCCAAACUCUUGAUUUUCCCGCACAGCGGCAGUAAUUCUCUGAGUGGCAAACGCAAAAUAAAUUAAAACUUUCAACAACGGAUCUCUUGGCUCUG